rnacentral:rRNA from 1 species
AUUGAACGCUGGCGGCAGGCUUAACACAUGCAAGUCGAACGGUGAACGAGGGAGCUUGCUCCCUCCGGAUCAGUGGCGAACGGGUGAGUAACACGUGAGCAAUCUGCCCUGGACUCUGGGAUAAGCGUUGGAAACGACGUCUAAUACCGGAUACGAGACGCGAAGGCAUCUUCAGCGUCUGGAAAGAACUUCGGUCCAGGAUGAGCUCGCGGCCUAUCAGGUAGUUGGUGAGGUAACGGCUCACCAAGCCUACGACGGGUAGCCGGCCUGAGAGGGUGACCGGCCACACUGGGACUGAGACACGGCCCAGACUCCUACGGGAGGCAGCAGUGGGGAAUAUUGCACAAUGGGCGCAAGCCUGAUGCAGCAACGCCGCGUGAGGGACGACGGCCUUCGGGUUGUAAACCUCUUUUAGCAGGGAAGAAGCGAAAGUGACGGUACCUGCAGAAAAAGCACCGGCUAACUACGUGCCAGCCGCCGCGGUAAAAC